CCGACCUUAGCUCAGUUGGUAGAGCGGAGGACUGUAGUGAGGAACUCUCAGAUAUCCUUAGGUCGCUGGUUCGAAUCCGGCAGGUCGGA
rnacentral:tRNA from 2 species